rnacentral:rRNA from 1 species
UAAUACAGAGGUCCCUAGCGUUGUUCGGAUGUACUGGGCGUAAAGGGCACGUAGGCGGCGAGGUGUGUCGAGUGUGAAAUCUCCGGGCUCAACCCGGAAAGUGCGCUCGAAACUGCCUUGCUGGAGUACGGGAGAGGGAAGGGGAAUGCAGGGUGUAGCGGUGAAAUGCGUUGAUAUCCUGCAGAACACCGGAGGCGAAGGCGCCUUCCUGGAACGUUACUGACGCUAAGGUGCGAAAGUCGGGGGAGCAAACAGGAUUAGAUACCCUGGUAGUCCCGACCUUAAACGGUGCACACUCGAGGUUGGGGGAUUUCACCCCUCCAGUCUCUCAGCUAACGCGUUAAGUGUGCCGCCUGGGGAGUACGGCCGCAAGGCUAAAACUCAAAGGAAUUGACGGGGGCCCGCACAAGCGGAGGAACAUGUGGUUUAAUUCGAUGAUACGCGAGGAACCUUACCCGGGCUUGAAUGCAUAUGAGUCGCGGAGAGAUCCGUGAGCCGCAAGGCAUAUGUGAAGGUGCUGCAUGGUUGUCGUCAGCUCGUGCCGUGAGGUGUCGGCUUAAGUGCCAUAACGAGCGCAACCCUGUCCCAGUUGCAUCGGGUAAUGCCGGGCACUCUGCGGAGACUGCGUCGUAAGAUGUGAGGAAGCG